rnacentral:tRNA from 1 species
GAUUCCAUAGUGUAAUGGUUAUCACAUCUGCUUUACAUGCAGAAGGUCCUGGGUUCAAUCCCCAGUGGAUCU